rnacentral:lncRNA from 1 species
AGGGUGCUACCUUGCCGACGUCAGCAAUGGACCUGCCUGGGCACCUGUGGCUUGAAGUCUGGCCUGGAACCUGCCUGCUUGCCUCGGCGGCCAGCUGAGAGUUAGAAGGUUGGCAUUAGGACCCCGCAAUGUGGCCAGGAACCCUGUGACAAACCCCUACCAGCAGCAAAGGGGGCACUGAGGCCCCUAAGCUGUGGCGAGGAAGCUGGGAUGAAGACGCCGAUCCGUCCCUGGCUCUCACCAUCCCCACCUCGCCAGUAAAACCAGAGCCCAACUGGAUGCGCUGAUGGGAAGGACGCGGCCAACACUAACCUGGAGACCAAGGGCCCAGGCUGGAGCGCAGAUGCUGCCCCGAGUGAAGAUGAACCACGUGCUCUCCUGCAGCCACCCAUGUGGUCUUGUGGCCCCGCGUGGUCUCGUGGAGUGAGGCCGAGAUGCCCAGGACCCACCCACGCCCAUGGGCGCCAUCCAGAGGGGAGCACAGCUGACCCUCCGUCAAUGAGAGCUGGUGCAGAAACUCUUCUCCCCCUCCCCUGCACAGCAUGAGGUGUGUUCCACCCGCUGCCUGGAGGACCCUCGUGUGUGACUGUGUGGUCGGCUGCACGUUGACAUGGCCAGCUCCAGGACGCGCCGUCCAUGGGCUCCUGUCCGUCCUGCCUCACUCUCCCCGCCGCUCACGCCUCUCUGGGGUUGCCCACCCCAGCAGGAAGGCUCUGCCUCGGGCUCUGCCUUCCGGGCAUUCGGGGUUGAGAGAGCCCCCAUCAAGAAAGCGUGUGUUUCCGGGGCACUCCCAACAGCAGCUGGUCUGAGGACAGCGCAGACCCCACAGCGGGGGCCCCUGGACAGAGAUAAGGCCCCCCACACCCCCAGAGGGCAGCUCUCCCCAUAGACAUGUUCGCCGCAUGGGCCAACCACCCUCAUGUCCACUGGGAACCUCCCUCUCAGGUUCCUUUGAGCUUCCCGGCCUGACCUGCAGACCUCGACACUCCACCCCUGCAGCAGGGCUACACCGUCGCCAGGCAGAACGUCUCCCACCGGCAAGCCUCGAACCCGGGGUGUAAAGCCGUGACAGUCCAUAGGGGGUUUUACCUGGGAAGUCUCCUGGUCCCAUUAAAGAAAGC